rnacentral:lncRNA from 1 species
UUUAGAGUCUUUCAUGAACUUUUAAGCACCAAUGUAUUCAAGUGACAUCUAAUAUUAAUUCAGAUUUUAGAAAGCAUCUUGUAACUCCAUAUAGGUACCAAAAACAAUAUUUAAUUGAAUAAAACAAAGCAUUUUUUUACAAUAUAAAGUGACCAAAGAGUACUAGAUGUAAAUAUAGAAAAAAAUGGCUGAAAUAUUUUUGUUUUUUAAUGUUAUGAUCUUCCUUUUUCUCCUAUCUCUAGUUGUAUGUGAUGGUAAUGAACCCUUUCUCUAAUCUUUUUUGAAAUUUACUUUCUUUUUUUUUUACCUCUUUUUGUAACAUUAUUAUUUGUUGUUGUUUUACAUGGCAGCAUAUCAACUAUGUUUAAGUUACAAAAGUUGUCCAAAUAAUAUGUGCAACAUUCUUGCCAAAGUUACGAAGUGCAGUUGGUUUACUUGUUCAUGCGGAGAUGCAUGAUGAUGACAUAGUUAAGUUUAAAAGUUAUUCUUUGUUACCAAAUCGCUUUAUAUUUUGAGGUUAACUUUGUUUAGGAUAAAAAUCAAAUGGUGCUGACAUUGAGUUUGAUUCUGCAAUUCUUAAAUAAGAAGCUCCAGUGGUGCACCAACCAGAUGAGUAGAUAAGAGCUAGCUCAGUUCAAAUCAUGGAUGCAGAAAAUCAAGAACUUUUAAAUUAAAUUUUUGUUGUUGGGGUCUAUUAGUGAUUCCAAUGUAGCUUUUUAUAUUAGUCUUUUUAAAGUAAUAUAUAUGUGUGAAAGUAAGUUUGCAUGAAAAAAGAGAAAUCCAUUUAUUGGUUUAUGCUAAACUCAAUAACUCUCCUUGAUUAUUCUCCAUGAACACCUUGGGAUAACUCACCCAAUUAAUCCUUCUAUUAUCAUCAACCCUCGC